UGAACUCAGGAGAAGGAACUCGGCAAAUUGAUACCGUAACUUCGGGAGAAGGUAUGCCUCGGUAGUGUGAGGCGCUCGCGCGCUAAGCAUGAUGAGGCCGCAGAGAAUCGGUGGCUGCGACUGUUUAUUAAAAACACAGCACUCUGCUAAGACGAAAGUCGACGUAUAGGGUGUGACGCCUGCCCGGUGCCGGAAGGUUAAUUGAUGGGGUGCAAGCUCUUGAUCGAAGCCCCGGUAAACGGCGGCCGUAACGAUAACGGUCCUAAGGUAGCGAAAUUCCUUGUCGGGUAAGUUCCGACCUGCACGAAUGGCGUAACGAUGGCCACACUGUCUCCUCCUGAGACUCAGCGAAGUUGAAGUGUUUGUGAUGAUGCAAUCUACCCGCGGCUAGACGGAAAGACCCCAUGAACCUUUACUGUAGCUUUGCAUUGGACUGUGAACCGGCCUGUGUAGGAUAGGUGGGAGGCAUUGAAGCGUGAUCGCCAGAUUGCGUGGAGCCAACCUUGAAAUACCACCCUGGUUUGUUUGCGGUUCUAACCUUGGCCCGUUAUCCGGGUCGGGGACAGUGCAUGGUGGGCAGUUUGACUGGGGCGGUCUCCUCCCAAAGCGUAACGGAGGAGUUCGAAGGUACGCUAGGUACGGUCGGAAAUCGUGCUGAUAGUGCAAUGGCAUAAGCGUGCUUGACUGUGAGACUGACAAGUCGAACAGGUGCGAAAGCAGGACAUAGUGAUCCGGUGGUUCUGUAUGGAAGGGCCAUCGCUCAACGGAUAAAAGGUACUCUGGGGAUAACAGGCUGAUACCGCCCAAGAGUUCAUAUCGACGGCGGUGUUUGGCACCUCGAUGUCGGCUCAUCUCAUCCUGGGGCUGUAGCCGGUCCCAAGGGUAUGGCUGUUCGCCAUUUAAAGAGGUACGUGAGCUGGGUUUAAAACGUCGUGAGACAGUUUGGUCCCUAUCUGCCGUGGGCGUUGGAUACUUGACGGAGCCUGCUCCUAGUACGAGAGGACCGGAGUGGACGUACCUCUGGUGUACCGGUUGUCAUGCCAAUGGCAUUGCCGGGUAGCUAUGUACGGAAGAGAUAACCGCUGAAGGCAUCUAAGCGGGAAACUCGUCUGAAGAUUAGGUAUCCCGGGGCCUAGAGCCCCCUGAAGGGUCGUUCAAGACCAGGACGUUGAUAGGUCAGGUGUGGAAGCGCAGUAAUGCGUUAAGCUAACUGAUACUAAUUGCCCGUGCGGCUUGAUCCU
rnacentral:rRNA from 1 species